GAUCCGCCACACUGGAACUGAGACACGGUCCAGACUCCUACGGGAGGCAGCAGUGGGGAAUUUUGGACAAUGGGGGCAACCCUGAUCCAGCCAUGCCGCGUGAGUGAGGAAGGCCUUCGGGUUGUAAAGCUCUUUCGGCCGGGAAGAAAUCGCAUAGGCCAAUACCCUGUGUGGAUGACGGUACCGGAAUAAGAAGCACCGGCUAACUACGUGCCAGCAGCCGCGGUAAUACGUAGGGUGCGAGCGUUAAUCGGAAUUACUGGGCGUAAAGCGUGCGCAGGCGGUUUUGUAAGACAGGCGUGAAAUCCCCGGGCUUAACCUGGGAACUGCGUUUGUGACUGCAAGGCUAGAGUACGGCAGAGGGGGGUGGAAUUCCACGUGUAGCAGUGAAAUGCGUAGAGACGUGGAGGAACACCAAUGGCGAAGGCAGCCCCCUGGGUCGAUACUGACGCUCAUGCACGAAAGCGUGGGUAGCAAACAGGAUUAGAUACCCUGGUAGUCCACGCCCUAAACUAUGUCAACUAGGUGUUGGGUGGGUAAAACCAUUUAGUACCGUAGCUAACGCGUGAAGUUGACCGCCUGGGGAGUACGGCCGCAAGGUUAAAACUCAAAGGAAUUGACGGGGACCCGCACAAGCGGUGGAUGAUGUGGAUUAAUUCGAUGCAACGCGAAAAACCUUACCUACCCUUGACAUGCCAGGAACUUGCCAGAGAUGGCUUGGUGCCCGAAAGGGAGCCUGGACACAGGUGCUGCAUGGCUGUCGUCAGCUCGUGUCGUGAGAUGUUGGGUUAAGUCCCGCAACGAGCGCAACCCUUGUCGUUAAUUGCCAUCAUUUGGUUGGGCACUUUAACGAGACUGCCGGUGACAAACCGGAGGAAGGUGGGGAUGACGUCAAGUCCCCAUGGCCCUUAUGGGUAGGGCUUCACACGUCAUACAAUGGGCGGUACAAAGGGUUGCCAAGCCGCGAGGCGGAGCCAAUCCCAGAAAGCCGAUCGUAGUCCGGAUUGCAGGCUGCAACUCGCCUGCAUGAAGUCGGAAUCGCUAGUAAUCGUGGAUCAGCAUGUCACGGUGAAUACGUUCCCGGGUCUUGUACACACCGCCCGUCACACCAUGGGAGCGGGUUCCGCCAGAAGUAGGUAGCCUAACCGCAAGGGGGGCGCUUACCACGGCGGGGUUCGUGACUGGGGUGAAGUCGGAACAAGGUA
rnacentral:rRNA from 1 species